ACGUAGCGCUGAUAUACCAGUACUACCAAGGCAAAGUCUGCAGGAUCAGUUCAUUAAACAGACUUGGCAGAAAGGUUCCUCAACAAAAAUUUCGUGAGUGAGUAGUGAGCAGAAAGGGGGCCCAGAGAACCCUGGAAUUGGCCUGUAAAUGACAAAGAUCCCGUAGCUUGUUUUAUCUCUUGAAAUUCCUGUAUCGGUGAUACUGCUGCAAUUACAGUAGCUGACAGAAAGGGAUCCCUGAGGACCCUCGAUAAAUAGCUAGCGCAAAUUGCUAGCGCAUCUGACGCAUCCAGUGAGAUGCCUUAAUAUGAGUGAUCCUGUUUUUGUAUCAACUGAUACUGUUAACUUCAGGUUUAUAAUUUUUCAUCUGAAAACAGAAAUUGUAAACAGGUCGGACACAUAACACAUAACUGUAAAACGAUUAUAAAGGUUUAUUUUGAAUGAUUUAUUUUGCUUUGUUAGAGAGGUUAUAUUAGUUUAGCAUGGCACGUCAAGCUUUUAUAUAGACAAGAAAGCCUUCAAAAUAAGAACACUUUGCCUUCUAAUAAUGAACGUUUGCCUACUAAUGUCUACUUACUCCAAUCAUUACUCGACUAAGCGACUACUUUUAAGAGUUAAUUCAAAGCUGUGUUUUCCGUAUAAACAAUAUCCGUCAUCAGCCAUGCGAAAGGAGUUCUGGGUAAUACCUGAUUACUCGAGAUUUCCCGCUCUUUUCAUAUCUGAUCUCCAAAGUCAACCGCUGCGGUCAACACUCUGUCGUAGAUAUUUGUUUUUCUUCUCUGAAACUCUACAUUAUGGCAUCCAGUUUUAAGUAACACGAUUUCGUCACAAGUCAUAAAUUGGAAUUGCAUGGACGCCAACGCCGUUUCAGGAUCUGGAUAUGAGUUGCAGGAUGAGGGCAUGUUUGACUUAUAAAAA